rnacentral:tRNA from 1 species
GGCAGAGUGGUUAUUGCACCAGAUUUGGGUUCUGGCAAACGAGAGGUAGGUGUUGCCGGUUCGACUCCGGCC